rnacentral:rRNA from 1 species
GACAGAGGUGCCGAGCGUUAGGCGGAAUCACUGGGCGUAAAGCGCGUGUAGGCGGCUAAGUAAGUCGGGCGUGAAAUCCCACGGCUCAACCGUGGAAGUGCACUCGAAACUGCAUAGCUAGAGUCCUGGAGAGGAAGGUGGAAUGCUUGGUGUAGAGGUGAAAUUCGUAGAUAUCAAGCGGAACACCGGUGGCGAAGGCGGCCUUCUGGACAGUGACUGACGCUGAGACGCGAAAGCGUGGGGAGCAAACAGG